rnacentral:rRNA from 1 species
UACAGAGGGGGCGAGCGUUAUUCGGAAUUAUUGGGCGUAAAGGGCGCGUAGGCGGCUUUUCAAGUGGCGGGUGAAAUCCCUCGGCUUAACCGAGGAACUGCCUGCCAGACUGGAUUGCUUGAGUCCGGGAGAGGUGAGUGGAAUUCCCAGUGUAGCGGUGAAAUGCGUAGAUAUUGGGAGGAACACCAGUGGCGAAGGCGGCUCACUGGACCGGAACUGACGCUGAGGCGCGAAAGCGUGGGGAGCGAACCGG